rnacentral:rRNA from 1 species
CCUACGGGUGGCAGCAGUGGGGAAUAUUGGGCAAUGGGCGAAAGCCUGACCCAGCAACGCCGCGUGAAGGAAGAAGGCUUUCGGGUUGUAAACUUCUUUUGACAGGGAAGAGCAGAAGCCGGUACCUGUCGAAUAAGCCACGGCUAACUACGUGCCAGCAGCCGCGGUAAUACGUAGGUGGCAAGCGUUGUCCGGAUUUAUUGGGUUUAAAGGGAGCGUAGGCCGGUCUUUAAGCGUGCCGUGAAAUUUUGUGGCUCAACCAUGAGAGUGCGGCGCGAACUGGAGACCUUGAGUGCGCGGAAGGCAGGCGGAAUUCGUGGUGUAGCGGUGAAAUGCUUAGAUAUCACGAAGAACCCCGAUUGCGAAGGCAGCCUGCCGCAGCGUUACUGACGCUGAAGCUCGAAAGCGCGGGUAUCGAACAGGAUUAGAUACCCUGGUAGUC